GUGCCAGCCGCCGCGGUAAUACGUAGGUGGCAAGCGUUAUCCGGAAUUAUUGGGCGUAAAGCGCGCGCAGGCGGUCUCUUAAGUCUGAUGUGAAAGCCCACGGCUCAACCGUGGAGGGUCAUUGGAAACUGGGAGACUUGAGUGCAGGAGAGAAAAGUGGAAUUCCACGUGUAGCGGUGAAAUGCGUAGAGAUGUGGAGGAACACCAGUGGCGAAGGCGGCUUUUUGGCCUGUAACUGACGCUGAGGCGCGAAAGCGUGGGGAGCAAACAGGAUUAGAAACCCUUGUAGUCC
rnacentral:rRNA from 1 species